rnacentral:misc_RNA from 1 species
GACUGGUGGGGGUGAAAAAUAGUGGAGAUUGCGCGAAAGCGUUCAUCGGGAAAAAAAACCGUGAAUAUCGUCAAAAAAAUAGCUAGGCGUUUUCGCGAAUCCGCCAAGAGAGUCAACCGUCCUUCGUUGGACACCGGCGGAACUCGUUUGUGCAGAAAGCCAGCGGUCUGCACGAGGCGGAAAAAAGACGUCGCCUGACGCUUCGGCCGGGGUGGGGAUGUGAAAUCGAUCGCGACGACAUGUUUUCGAUAAAGUGUCCGACGGACUUCUCGGCUCGGCGUUGAAACGAAGAUUGAAAGAGAAAGAGAGACCGCAUCAUCGCCCGUGGUCAUCAUCACGACGACACCCAUCGCCGGCCCGCCCGCCCAGUCAAUAAGAACAUUCGAAGUACAAUUAAAAUUCUGAAAUGAGCUAUCAAAUGCAAGGACAGCAAAACAGAAACAGUAUGUCUCACUCCAAUUACCAAGGGAGUGACCUACCAAUGGGGUCUGUAAAGGAUCAGACUUUACUAUGGCAACAGAACUCUUACCUUGCCGAUUCCGGAAUCCAUUCUGGGGCUACGACGCAAGCCCCCUCCCUUUCAGGAAAGGAAGAAGACAUGGAUGGCGAACAGCUGAUGUUCGAUCUGGAUCAGGGUUUCACUCCCGGCUUCACUCAGGAACAAGUUGAUGAGAUGAACCAGCAGUUGGCCCAGACAAGAUCGCAGAGGGUGAGAGCCGCCAUGUUCCCAGAAACAUUAGAGGAGGGUAUUGAAAUACCCUCAACACAGUUUGACACAUCUCAAGCGACUGCUGUCCAACGUCUGUCCGAACCGAGUCAGAUGCUUAAACAUGCUGUAGUGAAUCUCAUCAAUUAUCAAGAUGAUGCAGAUUUAGCUACAAGGGCUAUACCAGACUUGAUCAAACUAAUGAAUGAUGAAGACCAAGUAGUUGUGUCACAAGCUGCAAUGAUGGUUCACCAGCUGUCAAAGAAAGAAGCAUCACGCCAUGCCAUUAUGAAUAAUUCCCAGAUGGUCGCUGCUUUAGUCAGGGCAAUUUCUAACAGCAAUGAUCUAGAAACAACCAAAGGAGCGGUUGGUACACUGCACAAUUUGUCACAUCACAGACAAGGUCUGCUCGCAAUUUUCAAGAGUGGUGGGAUCCCAGCUUUGGUCAAGCUGCUCAGCUCUCCGAUUGAGUCGGUUCUGUUCUAUGCUAUCACCACUCUUCAUAAUUUACUGCUCCACCAAGAAGGGAGCAAAAUGGCGGUGAGAUUAGCCGGUGGUUUGCAGAAGAUGGUUGCAUUGUUGCAAAGAAACAACGUCAAAUUCCUUGCCAUUGUAACUGACUGUCUCCAAAUCCUGGCUUAUGGAAAUCAGGAAAGUAAACUUAUCAUCUUAGCUUCCCAAGGACCUAUUGAACUCGUAAGAAUUAUGAGAAGCUAUGAUUAUGAGAAACUUUUAUGGACCACUUCUCGUGUUUUAAAAGUUUUAUCCGUAUGCUCAAGUAAUAAGCCUGCUAUUGUUGAAGCUGGUGGAAUGCAAGCUCUUGCAAUGCACCUCGGUCACCCAUCACAAAGGCUUGUACAAAAUUGCCUGUGGACUUUGCGAAAUUUAUCUGAUGCUGGAACUAAGGUCGAUGGGCUCGAGGGUUUGUUGCAGUCAUUGGUCCAACUGUUAGGUUCUGCUGAUGUCAACAUGGUGACUUGUGCUGCUGGAAUACUAUCAAACUUAACUUGUAACAAUCAGAGAAAUAAAGUCACCGUCUGCCAAGUCGGUGGUGUCGAUGCUCUUGUCAGAACAAUCGUGACAGCAGGGGACAGAGAAGAAAUCACCGAACCAGCUGUUUGUGCACUAAGGCAUUUGACUUCAAGGCAUGUUGAAAGUGAAAUGGCUCAAAAUGGUGUACGUCUAAAUUAUGGUUUACAAGUCAUUGUCAAACUGUUGCAUCCUCCGUCUCGUUGGCCUUUGGUUAAAGCAGUCAUUGGAUUAAUAAGAAACUUAGCCCUAUGCCAGGCAAAUCAUGCUCCUUUAAGAGAUCAUGGAGCCAUACAUCAUCUUGUCAGACUUCUCAUCCGGGCAUUCCAAGAUAGUCAACGACAACAACAGAACACAUUGACAAGAAAUAAUGCCGUCAACAGUGGAAACCAGACACCUUCAGUAUAUGCUGAUGGCGUUAGAAUGGAGGAGAUCGUUGAAGGAACAGUCGGAGCACUUCACAUCCUUGCUCGAGAAAGCCAUAACAGGGUCAUAAUACGGGGUCAGCUUGUUAUUCCAAUCUUUGUACAGCUUUUGUUCAACGAGAUUGAGAACAUACAAAGGGUAGCUGCAGGUGUGCUCUGCGAACUGGCUUUGGACAAAGAAGGGGCUGAGUUGAUUGAGCAAGAAGGCGCUACAGCUCCACUCACAGAACUCCUUCAUUCCCGCAAUGAGGGUGUCGCUACAUAUGCCGCUGCAGUGUUGUUCCGAAUGUCUGAAGACAAGCCUCAAGACUAUAAGAAACGACUUUCAAUGGAGCUCACUAACUCCCUCUGUACUGGGAAUCUUUGGAACACUGGCGAUUUAAGUAUGCCACCCGAUCUUCAGGACAUGUUAAGCGAAGACAGUUAUGAUGGUUUGUACACAAACACAGCACCUAGUGUUCAAAGCAGCCAUGGAAGGACAACACCUUUACCAGGCACUUGAACUCUUCCCUUCUCUACAUAACAGAUUUGGUUCUAAAAGUUGAAAUUUUCUAAAACCAAAUGGAUAUGACCAGAUACCAGUAAAUCAAAUGCUGACACUAGGAAGCCCCACGCCACAAGAUAAUUCUGUAUUUUAUCCUAUGGAUAUCGAUG